rnacentral:rRNA from 1 species
AGAGUUUGAUCCUGGCUCAGAGCGAACGCUGGCGGCAGGCCUAACACAUGCAAGUCGAACGGACCCUUCGGGGUUAGUGGCGGACGGGUGAGUAACACGUGGGAACGUGCCCUUUGGUUCGGAACAACACAGGGAAACUUGUGCUAAUACCGGAUAAGCCCUUCGGGGGAAAGAUUUAUUGCCAUUGGAGCGGCCCGCGUUGGAUUAGGUAGUUGGUGAGGUAAAGGCUCACCAAGCCUGCGAUCCAUAGCUGGUCUGAGAGGAUGAUCAGCCACAUUGGGACUGAGACACGGCCCAAACUCCUACGGGAGGCAGCAGUGGGGAAUCUUGCGCAAUGGGCGAAAGCCUGACGCAGCCAUGCCGCGUGAAUGAUGAAGGUCUUAGGAUUGUAAAAUUCUUUCAGCGGGGACGAUAAUGACGGGACCCGCAGAAGAAGCCCCGGCUAACUUCGUGCCAGCAGCCGCGGUAAUACGAAGGGGGCUAGCGUUGCUCGGAAUUACUGGGCGUAAAGGGAGCGUAGGCGGAUAGUUCAGUCACAGGUGAAAGCCCAGGG